CAUGGGUAUUUUGUAUCUGAUCAAUUUUUAUUUCUGGAAUCUAUUCACGGAAUUUCGAAGGAAAAAAUAUCUUUAGAUUACAUUAUAAGAGUUUAGUAAGCUCUAUUGCAUCAGGACAAAAAGGGUAGAUUCGUGGCAGAACCUUCGCAGCAUCACCGUGAUCGCACCGAACGGCGUGCGCGAACCAAUUUUUUUCACCGUAGCCUUCACACAGCAGCAGCAACAGCAGCAGCAGCAGGAGCAACGGUGAUGGUCGCGGUGACGGCAACGGCGGCGUGAAGUGAGCGGCGGGUGUGUAUGAGAGUAGGUAAAUGUGCGGAAUCGCGAUUGGUUACGGCGGCGCCGUUCGACCAAUCAGCGCGCGCGGCCGCGAGCUUCGCGCGCACGGAGCCGGCACCGCGGUCGAGGCCGACUUCGUCAGUGUCGAGGUAACUCGCGAAUCGGAGAAAAAAAACUGACCGAUAGAUUCGUACGAUCGAGCGCGACGCGGCUGUCGGACGGAGGAAAUGCGACACAUGCGGCUAUUUCGUAACGACGAGAGAGUGGACGGAAUACUCGACGAGAGAGAGAGCGCGCGCGCGCGCGCGCCAAAUGAGACAAGGAGGUGAAGUUCGCAAGAUGAUAGCGAUGAAC